UCCCCCUGAGCAGGAAACACCACUUCCCGCCGCGCCCCGUGAGCUGGGGGUGGGGGCUGGGGGGUUUAAAGUCACAGCCUGUGGGGCCAGGGGGAUUCAAGGUGACGACGGGACCAGAGGCAGCAUCCAUGCAGGGUGCCCUGGCUGCCAGCGAUGGAUGCAAGCUCUCGCGGUGGUUGCAGGGGGUGGGCCUUCUCUGCCCCCCACUCUCUCCCAACCCUUGUACCAGUGUCAUGUUACUGGAACCCUGGUACAGAGGAUGGAUGAGAAGGAGGCGUGGGACCCCAGCACCUGCAGCCUCCCCGCCCCACCUCCCCACAGGGCACCAGAGACCUGCCCCAGGAAGGAACAAGCCCUGAUGCCCCUCACUCCCGACCUGCAGCCCCCUGCACCCUCCAGCCCUGGUGCCCCUCACUCCCAAUCUACAGCCCCAUCUGUGUGUCUCUGUUGUUCUGGGCAAUAAACCCUCUCUCUGCACUCCA